rnacentral:rRNA from 1 species
GAUGAACGCUGGCGGCGUGCCUAAUACAUGCAAGUCGAGCGAACGGACGAGAAGCUUGCUUCUCUGAUGUUAGCGGCGGACGGGUGAGUAACACGUGGAUAACCUACCUAUAAGACUGGGAUAACUUCGGGAAACCGGAGCUAAUACCGGAUAAUAUUUUGAACCGCAUGGUUCAAAAGUAAAAGACGGUCUUGCUGUCACUUAUAGAUGGAUCCGCGCUGCAUUAGCUAGUUGGUAAGGUAACGGCUUACCAAGGCAACGAUGCAUAGCCGACCUGAGAGGGUGAUCGGCCACACUGGAACUGAGACACGGUCCAGACUCCUACGGGAGGCAGCAGUAGGAAAUCUUCCGCAAUGGGCGAAAGCCUGACGGAGCAACGCCGCGUGAGUGAUGAAGGUCUUCGGAUCGUAAAACUCUGUUAUUAGGGAAGAACAUAUGUGUAAGUAACUGUGCACAUCUUGACGGUACCUAAUCAGAAAGCCACGGCUAACUACGUG